UUUGGAGGGCAAUCUGGUGCCAGCAGCCGCGGUAAUUCCAGCUCCAAUAGCGUAUAUUAAAGUUGUUGCAGUUAAAAAGCUCGUAGUUGAAUUUCGGGGUCAGUACGUUUGGUCGUGCCUCCGGUAUGUACUGGUGUUACUGGUUCCUCCUUCCUGAAGAACCGUAAUGCCAUUAAUUUGGUGUGGCGGGGAAACAGGACUGUUACUUUGAAAAAAUUAGA
rnacentral:rRNA from 1 species